AAUUAUUUGAUUAUUAUUUGCAUUGUUAUUGCUUCCCAUUGUUGUUAUUGUGUUUCGUAAUUCCAUAUGUCGACGACGACGACAUCGCCAGCAGAAGGGAACGUGACAACGUCGCGUCGCAGUCGACGUCGACGUUGUCGUUGUCUGGCAGCGAUGCGAUAACUCAAUUUUGUAUGGGAAAUUAGAAAAUUCCCAAAUAAUUUCACACUCGAGUUGAUAGGGUCCAGGCAUGUGUGUAUGUGUGUGUGAGUGUGUGUGAG